UUCCAGGACUUCCAGGCAGAGAUGGGCGUGAUGGCAGAGAUGCUUUAUUGCGUGGUCCUCGUGGUAAGCAGGGAAAACCUGGUCGAGC